AAAAAGAGUUAGUUUUUUUGUUCCUGCGAUUGUGAGCACACGCUGAUGCUGCGAAAAUCCUUUUGCUAGUUCAGAUUGCCAUUUUCCUUCUCAAUUUUGAUAAAGAAAAUUGACAAUUGAGAAAGAUGAUCAACACAAUGCAAGUGACGAGUGAACAUUGACAAUUGAGAAAGAUGAUCAACACAGCAGAGCCACAAAACACACAACAGCACACCAGAACC
rnacentral:lncRNA from 1 species